rnacentral:tRNA from 1 species
GUGGUUGUGGCUCAGCAGUAGAGCACUUGCCUAGCACGUGCAAGGCCCUGGGUUCAAUCCUCAGUACCACA